GCGAAGUCUGCCAUAAUUCUACCAGUUUGUUUUCUCUUUGGAUUUUAUAAUACUGGUUCCACGUGCACAGUUUAAAUUAAAAACCAUUAAAGUCGACCACGGAGUGCCAUUUGGAAGAUGUGAACGGCAGUUGAGCGCCGUGUGAACGUGCAUUACGGGGAUGAGGCGGUAAUGGCCGGACGGGAACCAUUAGUAGGCGGUGGCGGGAAGUCACGAUGACCAGACUUCAAAACAUACCACGGAAAUCAUCUUAUGUAAUGCAUGUUAGUGGUUUUUGAGAAAAGUUCAGAUGCCCUCUUUGGAUGAUGUACUAGCUCUCUAGAAAAGUCCUCGGCAGUUGCUAUGGCGAAUAGGUGGCCUCUUUAGACAAUCGGCUGUUUAAAACAGUUUCAGAGUUGUACACAAUGUACUGUAGACACACAUAACCUCAACCCAGAUAUCACACACCUUUGAUAAAACACGGGAAAUGUUCACGAGGUGCUGACGUAUACUUUGGAAGGGUUGUAAAGCGCGCGCCUCAUGUGUGGCCGGUGUAAGAUCGAUCCCCGUCGGUGAGCCCAUUGUGCUACUUCUCGUUCCAUCCAUUGCACCACGACUGUUAUAUCAAAGACUGUGGUAUGUGCUGUUCUAUUCUGAUGCAUAUAAUAGA